rnacentral:tRNA from 1 species
GGAGAGGUGGCCGAGAGGCUGAAGGCACUCGCCUGCUAAGCGAGUUAGGGUCGAAAGAUGCUACGAGGGUUCGAAUCCCUCCCUCUCCG